rnacentral:rRNA from 1 species
ACAGGAAGCAGCUUGCUGCUUCGCUGACGAGUGGCGGACGGGUGAGUAAUGUCUGGGAAGCUGCCUGAUGGAGGGGGAUAACUACUGGAAACGGUAGCUAAUACAGCAUAAUGUCGCAAGACCAAAGAGGGGGACCUUCGGGCCUCUUGCCAUCGGAUGUGCCCAGAUGGGAUUAGCUUGUUGGUGGGGUAACGGCUCACCAAGGCGACGAUCCCUAGCUGGUCUGAGAGGAUGACCAGCCACACUGGAACUGAGACACGGUCCAGACUCCUACGGGAGGCAGCAGUGGGGAAUAUUGCACAAUGGGCGCAAGCCUGAUGCAGCCAUGCCGCGUGUAUGAAGAAGGCCUUCGGGUUGUAAAGUACUUUCAGCGGGGAGGAAGGGAGUAAAGUUAAUACCUUUGCUCAUUGACGUUACCCGCAGAAGAAGCACCGGCUAACUCCGUGCCAGCAGCCGCGGUAAUACGGAGGGUGCAAGCGUUAAUCGGAAUUACUGGGCGUAAAGCGCACGCAGGCGGUUUGUUAAGUCAGAUGUGAAAUCCCCGGGCUCAACCUGGGAACUGCAUCUGAUACUGGCAAGCUUGAGUCUCGUAGGGGGGGGUAGAAUUCCAGGUGUAGCGGUGAAAUGCGUAGAGAUCUGGAGGAAUACCGGUGGCGAAGGCGGCCCCCUGGACGAAGACUGACGCUCAGGUGCGAAAGCGUGGGGAGCAAACAGGAUUAGAUACCCUGGUAGUCCACGCCGUAAACGAUGUCGACUUGGAGGUUGUGCCCUUGAGGCGUGGCUUCCGGAGCUAACGCGUUAAGUCGACCGCCUGGGGAGUACGGCCGCAAGGUUAAAACUCAAAUGAAUUGACGGGGGCCCGCACAAGCGGUGGAGCAUGUGGUUUAAUUCGAUGCAACGCAAAGAACCUUACCUGGUCUUGACAUCCACGGAAGUUUUCAGAGAUGAGAAUGUGCCUUCGGGAACCGUGAGACAGGUGCUGCAUGGCUGUCGUCAGCUCGUGUUGUGAAAUGUUGGGUUAAGUCCCGCAACGAGCGCAACCCUUAUCCUUUGUUGCCAGCGGUCCGGCCGGGAACUCAAAGGAGACUGCCAGUGAUAAACUGGAGGAAGGUGGGGAUGACGUCAAGUCAUCAUGGCCCUUACGACCAGGGCUACACACGUGCUACAAUGGCGCAUACAAAGAGAAGCGACCUCGCGAGAGCAAGCGGACCUC